AAAAAAAAAAAAAAAAAAAUACUCCCCCUAAAGAUGUCAUGACAGGAAAAAUAACAUUUAGUUGAUCCUAGAAAAAUUGAAUGAAUACCAUCAGAUUAGGCAAGAAAUUACAGCACAACCAGAGCGAUCGGCAUGUGCAAAAUCACAUACAGAUGAAAGAGCCUUCUUUGUAAAGACAUUAACUAAAGAACCUUUAUUAGUGUCUUGGAGACCUGUAACAGUUACAAAAAUGAUAUUUUGGAAAUACUCUAGCCGCUGCAUUUGACUUUCCUGCAGUUAUUUAAUAUCUCUACUGUUCAUUGAUUGAAGGUUUAUUCUGCUUUUUUUCAUACUUUCUUUCUCUUUGUUGCAACUAUAAUAGCCACAUUCAAACUCACAUAGGUGACUGCAAUAAUAACAAAAAUGACUGUGAGGUUAUGAAUAUCUGACAAAUCCCUUUGCAAAAGUUCACUCUUAUAAUUCAGUGGACAGGUGGUUGAGAAAAAAAGUGAAAAGACCGUUCCUAAAAAUGCUUAUUCAAUUAAAGCCUCAGAGAUAAAGGAGAAAACACGUGAUGUAUCCUUCAGCAAAUACUGCUUUCAGAAAAAGAGCUGAUCUUACUGUCCCGAAAAU
rnacentral:lncRNA from 1 species